rnacentral:lncRNA from 1 species
CUCGCUCUGUCACCCAGGCUGGAGUGCAAUGGCGCGAUAUCAGCUCACAGCAACUUCUGCCUCUCGGACUCAAGUGAUUCUCCUGCCUCAGCCUCCCUGAGUAGCCGUGAUUACAGGCGCCCGCCACCAAGCCGGGUAAUUUUUUUGUAUUUUUAGGAGAGACGGUGUUUCACCAUGUUGCCCAAGCUAGUCUCAAAGCCCUGACCUCAAUCCACCUCCUCCUCUGAAAGUGCUGGGAUUAUGGGCAUGAGCGACCACGCUCUGCCAACAACCCUUUAUUUUGGAUAAUAAUAAUACUACACGAGAUGGAAGACUUCUAAUGUGUCAGAAUUUAAGCUGGAAAAGGUUGGGCAGCUUAUUGUUGUCAAAUCAUAUAUGCAUGAAUAGAAACUAAAGAAGAAUAUAUCUCGGCAAGAAGGACUUCAGUGCUAAUUAGCAAGGUAGAGACAACUUAAGAUUUUACACUUGGUUUCCAUUUUCAAGACAACCUUAAUGCUCUGACCGAUUCCGGCUUGGAAAAGCUCUGCUUUACUUGUCAGAUUGAAAAAAAUGUUUUCUUAAAAAUACCUUUGUAUGUUUUAUAUUAAAAUAAUUGCACUAAAAUUGAUUAAUCAGAUAUCAAAUAUCAUACGUAGAAUAGUAAUGACAUAGCAUAGAGAAGACAAAAAUUGGGUUUCCAUAAAGAUAAUGAGUCAUGCCAUAGAUUAUGACCAAAAGUACACUAUGGAAUAGUAAUUUGUCAGCAUUGCAUAUGUUAGUAAAAAGCAAAUAACUUGGGGAUGGAUGAUGCUACUUUUGAGGUUAUGCAUGAAGCUGAGGAUAAACAGAGCUUUCAAGGAAUGGAAAUAGAGAAUAAAGAAAAAGUCCAUGUAGUUUGUAGUAGAAAGAUUGUGAACAUGACCAGAUUCUUAACCCUUUUUAUAUGCACUCUAUUGCAAUAUGAAUUUGUUCCUUCUUCAUUAAGAAAUAAAUCCAUUUCCCCAAUUCCUGAAUUUGAGCUGGCUUUGUAUCUUGCAACAGAAGUGAGGGUAUAUGAGUUACAAACCAAAGCCUCAGUAGGUCUUGUGUGCAUUCAGUCACACUUUUAUAAUGCUGCCCCUAAUAUGUGGACAAGCUUGGGGUGAAGGAGGAAAGACCACAUGGGGCAUAGUCAGCCAAAAUGGCCAAGUCCAGUGUCCAGAGAUGUGAAAGAUUCCAAUCAAGAAGACAGGAACGCCAGCCCUCGGCCAACCCAUCAGUUGACCAUAAAUGCAUAAUCAAGCACAGAUGAGAACAGUUGAGCCCAACCUGGAAUAGAAAAAUAAUGGCUCAGAGAACCUACAGACUAGUAAGCUAAUAAAUGUUUAUUGUUUAAUUGUUUGUUACAUAGCAUUAUUAUUGCAAUAGAUAACUGGCACAAUAGUAAAAUAGCCCUGAAAGUUGAGUUACCUUAAGUAUUUUAGCUCUGUUAUCAACAAAUACGGUGAAUAUAAAUGAAUAACACAGCUUCUGUUUCUCUCUUUUCAAAAUUGCAAAAUAAAAG